rnacentral:tmRNA from 1 species
GGGGACGUAAAGGUUUCGACGGGGAUCUGGAAAUUUCGUAAGCGGGUAGAGCGGGCGAAGGCUCUUUAAUCGUCGCACCAAAAAUAAACGCUAAAUCUAACACUAGAACUUUAGCUUUUGCUGCGUAAUUAAUCGCAGCUGCCUGAGCGGGACAGUACCGCGGGUCUCGCCAGGCUCAAAUGAAGCGGUCAACGUCGCUGGGGAGUUUCCCGGCCCCGGAUGACGUAUUAGGGAAUACCGUUCCAGUUAGCCUGACGGCUGGCGGGCUGGAGCGGGAAUUUUAAAGAACCGUCUGCACCCGGAGAAAGCGGAACGGAUAGGUUUUCGGACGCGGGUUCGAUUCCCGCCGUCUCCACCA